rnacentral:rRNA from 1 species
UACAGAGGCCUCGAGCGUUGUUCGGAUUCAUUGGGCGUAAAGGGCGCGUAGGCGGCGGGGUAAGUCUGGUGUGAAAUCUCGGAGCUCAACUCCGAAAUUGCACUGGAUACUGCUCUGCUAGAGGGCUGGAGAGGAGAUCGGAAUUCACGGUGUAGCAGUGAAAUGCGUAGAUAUCGUGAGGAAGACCAGUGGCGAAGGCGGAUCUCUGGACAGCUCCUGACGCUGAGGCGCGAAGGCUAGGGGAGCAAACGGG